rnacentral:tRNA from 1 species
GUGGCUGUGGCUCAGUGGUAGAGUGCUCACCUAGUAAAUGUGAGGCACUGGGUUCAAGCCUCAGCACUACA